rnacentral:sRNA from 1 species
GCCAGAUGUGGUGGUGCAUUCCUGUAAUCCCAGCUGUUAGGAGGCUGAGGCAGGAGGAUCAUAAGUUCAAAGCCAGCCUCAGCAAUUUUUUUGCAAGGCCCUAAGUAACUCAGUGAGACUCUGUCUCUA